CUGACGCGACGGGAAAUCGGCCACUAGUUAUAAAGCUCCAAUGAGGUAUCAAGAGGGCUAUCACAGUCAGGUGCGAAGCAAUUACCCCCUAUUUGUAAAGUACCCCUCUUCCUAUUUUAUUUAGGGGGUUGAGGCGAGAAAUGGCUUGGUGAACCGUUCCGUUCGCCACGCACCGGACCCAUUCACUUGCUUAUUGUAGAGGCUUUAAGUACACAGUGCCCCACAACUAUCAAUAGUAUAGUGGGGUUGAAACACGAGAGUGCCCGCCCUUUCUUUCAAGUGGGCCACUUUUUCGGAGCGCAGUCCG
rnacentral:lncRNA from 1 species